rnacentral:rRNA from 1 species
GACGAACGCUGGCGGCGUGCUUAACACAUGCAAGUCGAACGGAAAGGCCCUGCUUGCAGGGUACUCGAGUGGCGAACGGGUGAGUAACACGUGGGUGAUCUGCCCUGCACUUCGGGAUAAGCCUGGGAAACUGGGUCUAGUACCGGAUAGGAGCCAUUUUUAGUGUGAUGGUUGGAAAGUUUUUUCGGUGUAGGAUGAGCUCGCGGCCUAUCAGCUUGUUGGUGGGGUAAUGGCCUACCAAGGCGGCGACGGGUAGCCGGCCUGAGAGGGUGGACGGCCACCCUGGGCCUGAGAGACGGCACAGACUCGUAAGGGAGGCAGCAGUGGGGAAUCUUGAACAAUGGGCGCAAGCCUGAUGAAGAGACGCCGCGUGGGGGAUGACGGCGUUCGGGUUGUAAACUAAUUUCGCUAGGGACGAAGCUUUUUGUGACGGUACCUAGAUAAGAAGCAACGGCUAACUACGUG